CCUACGGGUGGCAGCAGUGGGGAAUAUUGGACAAUGGGUGAAAGCCUGAUCCAGCCAUGCCGCGUGUGUGAAGAAGGCCUUCGGGUUGUAAAGCACUUUCAGUGGGGAAGAAAGCCUUGGGGCUAAUACCCUCGAGGAAGGACAUCACCCACAGAAGAAGCACCGGCUAACUCCGUGCCAGCAGCCGCGGUAAUACGGAGGGUGCGAGCGUUAAUCGGAAUUACUGGGCGUAAAGCGCGCGUAGGCGGUCUGAUAAGCCGGUUGUGAAAGCCCCGGGCUCAACCUGGGAACGGCAUCCGGAACUGUCAGGCUAGAGUGCAGGAGAGGAAGGUAGAAUUCCCGGUGUAGCGGUGAAAUGCGUAGAGAUCGGGAGGAAUACCAGUGGCGAAGGCGGCCUUCUGGACUGACACUGACGCUGAGGUGCGAAAGCGUGGGUAGCAAACAGGAUUAGAUACCCCAGUAGUC
rnacentral:rRNA from 1 species